rnacentral:lncRNA from 1 species
AUUUCUUCCCCACAAAUGUUCCUGCCCUCCACACCAGAAGCAAGCAAGGGGAAGACAUACCCAAGGAGGAUCUUUCAGAAGUCUUGGCUGAGUGUGAUGAAGAAGGAUGCAUGAAAUUCUGACCUGAACAUCAGAACAUGAAUCAUUUUUAUGAGACUCCAAGACAAAAGGACCACAAAAGACACAAAAGUGUGUGCACUCACUUCACUGACACUCCGGAAGAGCUGGAAAGUAUAAGCUACUUUGGUUCACAGUAGAACAGGGAGGAUCUGUUUUCCAGAACCUUAUCCAAAUUGGAGGAAAGAAACUGUUCCCACUCCAACAACUACUAGCUGUCCUGUCUCAAUAAAGAACAUAGAGCACUGCCAGGAGUCAAGAGUUCCAGGGAACAGACUGGGAAUACUGAAGCUAUGAAAGGUGUCCAUUUUUAAGAGCUACUCUGGAUUCAGGGAAAAGCCUGAGAAUGUUUGGUACAUGUCUGAGAACAUGGAACCAAGCAAAGAAAGUAGCAGCAGACAGCGAGGUGAACAUUUCCCGGUUCAAUCUCUGCCUAAACCUCUUGCAAUUCCUGUCAGGAGGUGACUGUGUGCAAAAGAACCAUGGCACAAGCAGAACCAGGAUGAGUGAAGAGGAGGUUGAUGUUGCUCAUUUCAGCAUUACAAACAACAAGACCCUAU